GGGGGGGGGGGGGGGGGGGGGGGGGGGGGGCGGGGGGGGCGGGCGGGGGGGGGGCUGGCGGGGGGGGCGGGAGCGGCGGACGGGGGAGUGCCACGGGGGUAACCGACCUGUAAUCCGGGGAUACCUGCGGGGAACCGGAGCUGAUACCGGAUAAUAUAUUGAACCGCAUGGUUCCGUAGUGAAAGACGGCUUGGCGGUCGCUUAUCGCUGGAUCCGCGCCGACUUAGCUAGUUGGGAAGGUAACGGCUUACCAAGGCAACGAUGCGUAGCCGACCUGAGAGGGUGAUCGGCCACACUGGAACUGAGACACGGUCCAGACUCCUACGGGAGGCAGCAGUAGGGAAUCUUCCGCAAUGGGCGAAAGCUUGACGGAGCAACGCCGCGUGAGUGAUGAAGGUCUUCGGAUCGUAAAACUCUGUUAUUAGGGAAGAACAAAUGUGUAAGUAACUAUGCACGUCUUGACGGUACCUAAUCAGAAAGCCACGGCUAACUACGUG
rnacentral:rRNA from 1 species